GCGUGGGUGGUUCAGUGGUAGAAUUCUCGCCUGCCGUGCAGGAGAAAACCUGGGUUCAAUUCCCAGCCUGGGCA